UUUGUCUCCCUCGCGCCAUCAGACCGUAGC
rnacentral:ribozyme from 1 species